CUUCUGGGAGCCUUCUGCAUUCCGUGGUUUGGGUCCCUUUCCUCCAUCUUCAAAACCAGUCUAACAGCAUUUUCAUAUCUCUAUGAUACUAAUUUCCUCUUUUUUGAGGCAUAAACAUAUUUUCAUUGAAAAUCGUGAAGAAUUGAGAAGGAAAGGAGUCUGAAAUUUUAAAUGGAGACUUCUCUCUUGCUGGCUUAGGUAAAGCAAGCCCCACAUGGCAAAGAACUGAGGGACAGACAAUAAGAAACAAGCUCUCAGCCCAACAAGCCACAAGGAAGUGAAUUUUGCCAACAACCAAGUGAGCUUGGAAGCAGAUCCUUCCAUAAUCAAGCUUUGAGACAAAACUGCAACCUGGAUUGACCCCUUGACUGCAACUUUGAAGAGAACAACUAAAUUGUGUCCUUACUGCUGAUCCACAGGAUUCUGUGUUGCUUUAAACUACUGUUUGUGGUAACAUUGUAACACAAAUAUACAUAACCAAUACCAUUUACAUGGUGCUUACUAUAUGUCAGGCACUAUUCCAAGAGUUUACUCUUUUAAUCUACGUAACUCAAGGAUAUAAUUCAUCUCAUUUUAUAAAUAAAGAAGAGAACACAGAGCUUAAAUAACUUGUCAAAGUUCACAGAGCAAGCAUCUCCAAUCAAAAUAUAUAAUAAUAUGCUUCUCUGUAAAAAUAAUAUUUUGUUAAUGAAAUGGAGUUUAAUAGGCCUGUAUGCUACCCACAUCUGAAUUCCACUGAAGUAUUUUCUCACAAAUAUUUUAUACCUCACAAAAUAUUUUAUACACAAAUAUUUUAUAUCUCACAAAAAUUUUUAUACCUCCUGGCAAACUCAAUCAAACCAAGAAAUAGGAUGCCUUAAUUGGUUAGACAAGGGAGAGUUGAAAUUCGUUUCAGCUUGUCUGCAAUCUGUUUGUAACACAGAGAAGAAAUUUUUGCCAGAAGACAAUUUAACGAGGGUGAUGUAAAUAUUUUAGCCAAUAUCAUGUAACCAUCUUCUUCCCAUAUUAACUAUCUUGUUCCAUAAUUUCCAUCCCCCACUUAAACAAUCCUGAUAUUGCCUAAUGUUAAAAUAUGUUUAAAAGAAAAGUUUUAACUUAGGCUAAAAUAUCAUUUUCAUAAAUAGAGCUAAGGAAAUGACAAUUGAUUAGAAAAUAAAUGUCAUGUUGCCACAUUACUGAACUACAUUAUACUAUAGGAUAUCCCAAGUACUGUAAUGUGGAGUAGUGUUAGAUUUUGGAUAACAGAUGGGAGACCAGUUUUGAUGCAAAGAUUUUAGUUGAUUUCCUGAGUUAAAUCAGAUGUUCAUCCCUAUAAAUUAAGUAGCAAUCUUAUCCCUAUUCUAGCAUUAUAAAUGCCUCUAUUAUAUCAUGUAAUAAAUGUUGACCAUAGUUAAAAUACAGAAGUGUGACAUAUUUCUUUGAUAUAACCCCAUAAACAUCCCCUACCCGUCUGUCCUUCCUUAGCAUUCAGAGUACUCUAGCCACAUGGAACUACCAUACCAAAACAUUUGUUUUAUGAGUGAAUAGCUUAAUUGCUGAUAUCCUUAUAGAAAACACAUACCUAUGUAUGUGUAAUAAUUUCAUACCAUUGUUCAGUUUAUUGAAUGUUGAAGAUAUUAAACAGGACACUUGUGUAAUGUAACUGCUCUUGGAUUAGUCACAAUAGAAAGGUAUUUGCUUAGGUUGUCAGCUGUGACAAACUGAAUCACUAAAUUACCUCAAUUUUAAAAUUAAUAAAAGAUAUUUAAGAUAUAUC
rnacentral:lncRNA from 1 species